GAUGAACGCUGGCGGCGUGCCUAAUACAUGCAAGUCGAGCGAACGGACGAGAAGCUUGCUUCUCUGAUGUUAGCGGCGGACGGGUGAGUAACACGUGGAUAACCUACCUAUAAGACUGGGAUAACUUCGGGAAACCGUAGCUAAUACCGGAUAAUAUUUUGAACCGCAUGGUUCAAAAGUGAAAGACGGUCUUGCUGUCACUUAUAGAUGGAUCCGCGCUGCAUUAGCUAGUUGGUAAGGUAACGGCUUACCAAGGCAACGAUGCAUAGCCGACCUGAGAGGGGGAUCGGCCACACUGGAACUGAGACACGGUCCAGACUCCUACGGGAGGCAGCAGUAGGGAAUCUUCCGCAAUGGGCGAAAGCCUGACGGAGCAACGCCGCGUGAGUGAUGAAGGUCUUCGGAUCGUAAAACUCUGUCAUUAGGGAAGAACAUAUGUGUAAGUAACUGUGCACAUCUUGACGGUACCUAAUCAGAAAGCCACGGCUAACUACGUG
rnacentral:rRNA from 1 species